CCUACGGGAGGCAGCAGUGGGGAAUAUUGCACAAUGGGCGCAAGCCUGAUGCAGCGACGCCGCGUGAGGGAUGAAGGCCUUCGGGUUGUAAACCUCUUUCGUCAGGGAACAAGGCAUUGCCUUUUUUGGUGGUGUUGAGGGUACCUGGAUAAGAAGCGCCGGCUAACUACGUGCCAGCAGCCGCGGUAAUACGUAGGGCGCAAGCGUUGUCCGGAAUUAUUGGGCGUAAAGAGCUCGUAGGCGGCUGGUCGCGUCUGUCGUGAAAACUUCCGGCUCAACCGGGGGCUUGCGGUGGGUACGGGCCGGCUAGAGUGCGGUAGGGGUAACUGGAACUCCUGGUGUAGCGGUGGAAUGCGCAGAUAUCAGGAAGAACACCGAUGGCGAAGGCAGGUUACUGGGCCGUUACUGACGCUGAGGAGCGAAAGCGUGGGGAGCGAACAGGAUUAGAUACCCGGGUAGUC
rnacentral:rRNA from 1 species